AGCGAACGCUGGCGGCAGGCCUAACACAUGCAAGUCGAACGGACCCUUCGGGGUUAGUGGCGGACGGGUGAGUAACACGUGGGAACGUGCCUUUAGGUUCGGAAUAGCUCCUGGAAACGGGUGGUAAUGCCGAAUGUGCCCUUCGGGGGAAAGAUUUAUCGCCUUUAGAGCGGCCCGCGUCUGAUUAGCUAGUUGGUGAGGUAAAGGCUCACCAAGGCUACGAUCAGUAGCUGGUCUGAGAGGAUGGCCAGCCACAUUGGGACUGAGACACGGCCCAAACUCCUACGGGAGGCAGCAGUGGGGAAUCUUGCGCAAUGGGCGAAAGCCUGACGCAGCCAUGCCGCGUGUAUGAUGAAGGUCUUAGGAUUGUAAAAUACUUUCACCGGUGAAGAUAAUGACUGUAGCCGGAGAAGAAGCCCCGGCUAACUCCGUGCCAGCCGCCGCAGUAA
rnacentral:rRNA from 1 species